rnacentral:misc_RNA from 1 species
GAUGAAGAACGUAGCGAAAUGCGAUAAGUAGUGUGAAUUGCAGAAUUCAGUGAAUCAUCGAAUCUUUGAACGCACAUUGCGCCCGCCAGUAUUCUGGCGGGCAUGCCUGUCCGAGCGUCAUUUCAACCAUCAAGCCCCCGGGCUUGUGUUGGGGACCUGCGGCUGCCCGCAGGCCCUGAAAACCAGUGGCGGGCUCGCUGUCACACCGAGCGUAGUAGCAAUCACCUCGCUCAGGGCGUGCUGCGGGUUCCGGCCGUUAAACAGCCUUACAAACCCCAAGGUUGACCUCGGAUCAGGUAGGAAGACCCGCUGAACUUAAGCAUAUCAAUAAGCGGAGGA